GAUGAACGCUGGCGGCGUGCCUAAUACAUGCAAGUCGAGCGAACAGAUAAGGAGCUUGCUCCUUUGACGUUAGCGGCGGACGGGUGAGUAACACGUGGGUAACCUACCUAUAAGACUGGAAUAACUCCGGGAAACCGGGGCUAAUGCAGGAUAACAUGUUGAACCGCAUGGUUCUACAGUGAAAGGCGGCUUUGCUGUCACUUAUAGAUGGACCCGCGCCGUAUUAGCUAGUUGGUGAGGUAACGGCUCACCAAGGCAACGAUACGUAGCCGACCUGAGAGGGUGAUCGGCCACACUGGAACUGAGACACGGUCCAGACUCCUACGGGAGGCAGCAGUAGGGAAUCUUCCGCAAUGGGCGAAAGCCUGACGGAGCAACGCCGCGUGAGUGAUGAGGGUCUUCGGAUCGUAAAACUCUGUUAUUAGGGAAGAACAAAUGCGUAAGUAACUGUGCGCGUCUUGACGGUACCUAAUCAGAAAGCCACGGCUAACUACGUG
rnacentral:rRNA from 1 species